rnacentral:tRNA from 1 species
GGUAGGGGCGGAUGUAGCCAAGUGGAUUAAGGCAGUGGAUUGUGAA